GAUGGGAUUUACAUCUGAAAAACCAAGUGAGAAACUGAAGACCAGAGAGGGUGAGUGGUUUACUCAGUUUGGCACAACUGACCCCAACCUAGCCCUCCAUGAGGACUGAGCGCAUGAGAGAUCCUGAGCCACAGCCGCCCAGCCCUGCUCCUCUCGAAUUUCUGACCUACAGGAACUGCAAGAAGUAAUGAAAGACUGCUGUUUAAAGCCACUGCAUUUUGGCAUGAUUUGUUAUGCAGUCGUAGAUAACCAGAAAACAUCGGAUUUACAUUUUAAGGUAAACUUUUUAUUGAAACAUCACAUACACACAGAGACGUCCACCAAUUGGCUCGAUGAGCUUUCUCAAAGGAAACACAUUCUCUGAGCAGUGUGCACAUCCAGACACAUCAUCUCCAUCCUCCAGAAGCCCCCUCCUGUUAUCGCCACUCACAGGUCACCCGUCUCCUGACUUGCAGCCACAGAGAUAGUCCUGCCUAAUUCUGAACGUGGUACAAACGGAAUCAUACAGAAUGGGCUUGGCUUCUUUCACUCUGGGCUGUGUUUAUGAGCAUCACCCAGAUUGCUGCAUGGAAGCCAUCGUUUGUUCAUUUUCACCACCAUAGAGUAUUCUACUGUUGAUGGGACAUAGGCUAUUUAUUCCUUCUACUGUUGAGGGACGCAUAGUUAUUUCCAGCUGGAGACUGGUAUAUGUCUCUUGGCUACCUUCUGCAUGCAUUUCUGUUGGAGGUUGUUUCAGGUAUCUCUUAACGUAUAACAGACCACCCUCAAAUUGAGUCCUUGAAACAAUUACCAUUUUCUUCUUUCUCAGGAUUUGGUGCAUGGGAUGGGCUCAGUUGGGCAGUUCUUCUGUUCCAUGUGAUGGUACUGGGGCUGCAGUCAUUCAGAGGCUCAACUGGGCUGAACGUGCAAGGUUUCUUGCUCACGUGGCCAUCAGUGGUGCUGGCUGCUGUUGGGAGCUCCACUGGACUUCUGUCCAGAGCUCCUCAGCUCACCUCUCUGUAUCCUUGCCCUGUGGCUCAGGCUUCUAACAAUACAGAGGCUGGAUUCCAAGAGGAGGGAAUUAGAAGCGUUCAGCCUUCUUAAGACCAGGAUUCAGAUGUCCCAGACUGUCACUGUAUUGACCGGAGCAUUUACAGGCCAGCCUAGUAAUUUUUCCAUCUUGGGCAGGAAUGGGUGGCAUAUGCUGGGGGUAGGGGUAGCAUUGUUGGGGAUCAUCUUUGGAGCUGUGUGCCAAGGAGUAAAUUGCUGGGCUGCUUUCUACCUGAGGAAGUCCACUAUGCUUGCUUGUGGAGAGUGGAUUGUGUGCUCAGAGUCCACAAGGAUUUAAGAAUCCGAGCCCUGCUGCCCUUGCCUCAGCCUGUGCAUUAGGGCCCGGUGGUGAGAGCACUGAGCCAUUGUGAAUCAAGGCCCCUCCCUCGACCUGCAUACUAACAGGCCAGAAGAGCUUGCUUGAUUUUGGUCCUAGGCUCCUGCCUGUGGGUUGGAUUCCAGGGGCACUCUCUCCUCCACAAACCAGACGGUGGCAGGUACAUCCCCUCAAUGGAAAUUGCCCACACUUCACCCUAAAGACAGAUCCUGCUGUUCAGCAACAAUGUGAGUGGCCCACACAUUUGUCCAGCAUGAAACCGUUUGCAGAUUCCUUUCCAGUACACAGUCCCGUCAGCCGGUCACUUCACGAUGACAGCUCCUCGAAGCACCUUUUGGUUUGCAGUUGUGUAGCUUAGAAGUAGGAGCCUGCACGGCUUCAGGAAUUCACAGAAGGAGCACACUUUGUGCUUGGAGAAGUUAAUUAUAGGAAUAUCCUGCAACCUGCUGCUCUGAGCCUGUGCACCUGGGGUGUUUCCCUGGAGGUCCUGUGUAUGAGGAUACUCAUCAGCAUGGGGUUUGGGAAGCCUAGCAGUGGAGACAACCUAGGUGGUCCUCUCCAGGGGAGUAGGUAAGAGCCCUACAGCAGUGAAAAGCAUUGAAGGAAAAGUGUGUUCAGCAGUGCUCUUAAUCUGAUCAGAGCAGCCUGAACACAUUCUAAACACAGGGCAUUUAGAACUAGGGUAGAGGCACUAGAGCACCAUAGAUACAAACUCAGAUUCUGAAGGUAAAUGCCCAGGUUCAAAUCCAAGCCCCCUCGCCAAGUGACCAUGACUCCCCCGAGUCACCUGACCUCUGUGUUUACAUCCUCAAAGUUAAGUAGUCAGGAAAGGGGGCUUGGGGCUUGCCACAUGGAUGGUUGCCACUCUCCUUUGCAAAGUGUAGUCCCCAAAAACAGGUGGAAGAGGGAAGGGUCCAAUUAGAAGGCCGAGUACCAGCUGCCAUGAAUAUGCCAGAGCUGCUGGCUAGUGAUAAAUAACUGAAACCCAGGGGGACAGCAGAGCUUGGGUGACCAUACAUUCUAGGAAAGAAAACAUGCCUGUUGUCCUGGCUUUUUAUCCAGCUUAGACAAAGAUGGGCAAAGAAAAUAAUUUAGAAAAUGGUAGAGAUGGGCACAGAGAAAGGGCACGGAGGGAGGCACAAACAGAAGGCCAAGUGAUGGUGGAGGCAGACAUUGGAGAAAUGCCUUUACAAGCCGGGGAAUGCCAAGGAUGCUGGCAACCCUGGGAGUGGGAAGAACCUGGAACACACCCUCCGUCAGAGUCUCCAGAAGGAACUGGCCCUUCAUCACCUUUCGGACUUCUGGCCUCCAGAACUGGGCAAGAAAAUGUUUCUGCUGUUGGAGGCCAUCCAGCUGGUGGUCAUUUGUUAUGGUUGCCACAGAAAACGAAUAUAGAUUUAGACAUCUAAUUUGCAUAUAUAGAUAUGCAUGUGUAUUUGUUAAAUAAAAGAUAAAGC
rnacentral:lncRNA from 1 species